UACCAAAGCUAAUUCCUAUUGUUAAACCUAUUCCUAUUCCCAAACCAAUUCCCAUUGUUAAGUCAAUUCCUAUUGUUAAACCUGGAUCAAAGUCAAUCCCCAUUUUAAAGCCAAUUCAUAUUCUUAAACCUAUUCCAAAGUCAAUUCUCAUUGUUAAGCCUAUACCAAAACUGAAAAAAUCCAUCCUGCUGCUGAGCCAUUGAGCCAGAGGAGUUUUUAAAACCAAAGCCUUUCUUCAAAAAGCCUAUUCCAAAAUUACCUCUUGAUCCCAAAUUUAAGAAACCACUUCUACCAUCAUUGCCAAUUCCAACUCCAUAAAAUGCAACACUCUACGUCUACAAGCAACAAGGGCAUCCCUUCCAUUUCUAACACCUAUAUAUAUAUAUAUAGGGGACAUAUCAGGUGAGGUGAGAGUUUUAUGAUGAGAGGUGAGAAGAUUAAAUAGCAAUCCUUCAGAUCAAAAUAGAAUGUCCAGAUUUGAUUUAAUUGCUAAUUAAAUAAAUUGAGAGAAAAAUAUUGUGCAUGAGAGAGCCAAUGUUAAAUGCACAUAUAAUUUUUCUCUCAUCUCAUUUAAUUAGCAAUUAAAUCUGGAUCUUCUAUUUUAAUUUAAAGGUUCUUAUUUAAUCCUCUCACCUCUCAUAAUAAAACACUCAUUUCACCUGAUACAUAUGUAUAUAUAUAUUUGCACGCUCCAGCCUCAAUCAUGAUUUAGAUAAUCCUUCUGUACCCCUCUUGUGUACUGGAUUGGAAUAUAUAUAUAUAUAGUUAAUGUGUUCUCCUUAACGAAGUUCUUAAUAUUAAAGUUUUUAUUUGGUUGAUUAUAUUAAAGUAAGAAAUGGUAAUAAUUUUUCAGUUUUCAUUUAAGUAAUAUUUUAAAUAAGUAUUUCCUUUUUUAUUUUUUAGUAUAUAAUAUUUAAUUGUGUUCGUGUGUGGAGAGAGAUCAUUAAAUCAUAUAACCGAUGUAGAUCCUGCGGAUGUUGAUUCAGGGAACUUUCUACAUCCAUUAUUAAUAAAACUAAUGUAGAAAGUGUCUUCAACUUUUUUGGCUAAUACGCUUUGUCUUCCAUGGAACAAUUGCUAGCAAGGAGUCUCUCUCCAUAAGAAUAACCUAAUAUGAGAAACACAAGCACGUCAGAGAAAAAAAAUAGAUUUGGAAAUUGCAGUGCAUAGGACAAAUGAAAACUUUAUUGUAAAAAGGCCAUUCUCUCGGACUUCUAUAGAUCGAAAAGGAAUUAUUUUAAUGUGAUGAUGGGGAGCGAUGAGAUUCCUUAUGUGUAAAAAGUAAUUAUCUCAAAAUUCAAUAAAUUUCUUUUGCUUCUUAAUUAAAAUUGUUGUAGUGUUUUUAGUCUCUCUCCAUAAUUCAAUAAAUUUUUUUAUUCAGUAAAAACCUAUUUUUUUAGUAGUGUUUGGUCUUAACAUACUUAACUAAAUUCAGGGGUUUGAAUUCUCAACUUGGGCAUGGAAUCAUGACUAAAGGUAUAACUUUACUCAAAAAUAGACCAACCUAGUGGAAGGAGAAUCAUGUAGGUGUCAAAUAGAAACUUUAGAUACUUCCUUCUUACACACACACACACACACACAACAAAAAAAAACAAAAACAAACAUAAACUUAAAUAAGCUUUCAAGGGUAAACAAACCAGCUCUCAGAAAAUAAAAGGAAGAAGAUGCAACUCAAAUCCUUACACUGGACUCACUCUUCACACCAUGUCCUAAAACUUCACACCAUUACAUAACUACAACCAUUAUUGUGAAAAGUUUAUAGCAGGGGCCUCUUUUAUACUACAAUGCAUUGAGGUUGAUGCUAGAAAGUUGGAAGCUAAUUUGUGGCAUACAAGUGGAAGUUGAUGAUAUUGCAAUGCUAAGUAGAAACUAAAUAAGAAACCCUUGUAUUUGAGAUAAAUGAGAGAGAGAGAGAGAGAGAGAGAGAGAGAGAGAGAGAGAGAGAGAGAGAGAGAGAGUAUAUAUGGAUUAAGUAUGUUAAGACCAAACACUACUAAAAAAAAUAGUCUUUUACGACGCAGCUUCAACAAUGAUACUUGAAUUGUCUAAUGUUUUCAUGUACCUUUACCCCUUUUAUUUUGAUUGAAGUUUUGCUGACUCUUGAUGCAAGUGGGAACUAUGUUAUCAACGUAAUCAUAUUUUUUUUUCUAGCUUGUAAGGUAACAAAUUUUAUUUAAUGACUAUAUUGGUUAGCUUGAUCCAAAUGGCUUCGAAUUUGGCACCCUAAAUAAAUCCUUUUGUUUUUAAUGGAUGUAGGUGUAAGGUCCAAACCUUGUUUCGCGCCCCUAUAUUAUUGUUCUCAGUAACUUUGCAAACAAUAGACCAAAACUAACUUUUGCUGGCAUUUGUUUUCCUUUUUACCGACAAUAAAAAUUGCUACUAAGGCAUUUAGUGGCAAUUUAAGUUUCGUCGGAGUAUCCAGGAUCGGUAACCGACAUUUAUUGUGAGUGCUGGUAAAGCCCACUUUUUUUGCUGGGAAAAACCAAAUACUUAUAACGGCAAUUUUUGCGACAAUUUAAAUGGCCAUCAAAAGUAGCCUUCCAAUUCAUAUUUCAGCCAUUCAAUGCUUUCUUUUUAGUGAUUGAAUUGAUUCAGUCUUCAUAUUGACAUUUUUUUUUGUAAGGUAAAGGGAAUUUUAUGAAGUUUAAUUUGUUACUUGAUUCUUUAUUUUAAGCAUGUCAAUAGAGACUACAUUAACUAAUGUCUACUUAGGAUAACUCUUAUUAAAAACACUAUGUUUGUUCUUAUAGAGUGGGAUCCAGAUGAUGAACCACAGCACAUUGAGCCAUCUCGUUAUCUUUCUUUCAAUAAAAAGAUGGCAGAAGGAAUAGAUAUAUUUGGUAGCCUUUGGUGUGUAGAUGGAAUGAACUUUAACAUUAUGUUAUGUUUUAUUUUAUUAUUUUCAGUAGAGAGAAAUAAUUGUAUUUUUCUCAUACUAAAGUUUGUCACAUUAAUUAAGAUUUUAUUUCAGAAAAGUUCUAGACAUUUUUGAAGGACAUAUUACAUUUUUUUUCUAUAAUGUGAUUAAUAUCUUAUAUUCUACUAUACUAACAAGCAAAGAUAGGACCGUAAGUGUUCUGAUGUUUAGUUCUUAAUAAUAAUAUUUUUAUUAUAUCUAUAAAGAAAAUAAUAUUUUUAAUUUUUCUUUAAAAAAAGACAUUCUUAGAUGGUUCUUUGAAAAAUCGUCUUAGAAAAUUUACUUUUUAAGACGAUUUUAGGAAAAAUCGUCUUAGAAUCCUUGAUUGUUUUUAUUUUUUUAAAAAAUAUAUUCUAAGACGAUUUUUUAGAAAACCAUCUUAAAAAACUCAAGUUUUCCAAUUAAAAAAAAAAUAUUUUAAGACAUUUCUCUGAAAAAUUGUCUUAAAAAAUUUACUUUCUAAGGUGAUUUUUUUCAAUUUUUAUUUUUUUUUAUUAAAAUGACAUUGUAAGACGAUUCCGAGAUAAAACUGUCUUAGAAAUUAUAUCAUUCUAAGACGGUUUAAAAACUAUCAACUUUCCACUACAGCAACUUCAAGAACGGUUGAAAAUUAUUAUAAAAAGUCUCUUAAAACCAUCGAAAAAUGGUUUUUUAAGUGGUGAAAGGAGGUACUAUAAGAAAAUCACAUAAACAAAUAAAAAUAAUGCUACAUACAAAGUGUCAACUUUUGCACCAAAAGUGGGUUAGAUUCACUCAAACCAAACUUUUGCAUCCAUUAUGCAUUGUACACAAACACUACUCAGGGUCGGGCAAUCUUAGGGUCUACAUGGCAAACAUGAAAAUCCUUAAAAAUUGUUGUUACUAAAGUUGUCUUCACAUUGACGCUAUUAGCAUUGUUUUUUUAGUCUAACACUAUGUAGCUACAAAAUGCAUAAGUUAGUCAAGUAGACGCUAAUGGUAUAUUAUUUUAAAAGAUUUUUCUUUAUUUAUUGUUAAUAUGUUACAAAACUAGAAUAUAUAUAAAUUAAAAUAAUAAAAGCAUUAAUAUAGAGUUAUAAUAUCAACAAUAAUAUAGAAGUAUAUAAUAAUAAUAUAAGGGGAAGGGGAUGUAACAUUUGUUAAAAAUGAGUUUCUACAUUGAUUGUAGAAUCGGUGUAGAUAUUGUCUGUUAUAGAAUGUAUAUAUUUUGAAUCAGACAAUGAGCCGAUGAUAAAAAAAUUACAUCAAUUAUUGUAACAACUGAUGUAAAAGCCCCAAUUCAUACAAAAAAGCUUUACAUUAUUUGUUCAUAUAUAUCCUCAUAUCUACAUUUGAGCUUUGUCAUACCACCUGCCGCAACCACAAUGGCUCCGCCAUGACUUUCAUGAAUAUGGAAACACCACACUGCACCUUAUAUGCCGCUUUCAUUUCCUUGAAACGGCCACCAUGCCAUUUCAUUUUGAAAAUAUAUGAAAUGUUCUUAUAUCAAAUAUAAUUUAAUUUAACUAGGGUAAAAAGAAACACUUUUUACAUCGGUUACAAUUAUAACUGAUGUAAAUAGUGUAUUUUACAUUGGUUAUAUUUUCAUUUUCAAAAUUUAUGCCUCAAAUUAACUUAGCCCUUCCUUCCUCAUCGGGUAGUAGCACCGAACCAAGGCCCCAAAUCUCUAGAAAAUAAGACAUACAAUACAACUUACCACUAAUCUUAAAAAGCAUUCAUUCCUAACAUUCUUUGGGGUCAAAGAGUAUCAAUGGUUAGAUCUGAUAAAGUACAUCCGCAAAGAAUCAAAACUCAAUAUCAAAAACCAAAUUUAAUGACUAGCAAGCAUAUACAAAUAGAAACAAUAAAUGUAACUUAUCCUCGACCAAUAAGACAUAUGAUUGAAUUUUAUAUAUAACUAUUUUCUAUAUGAUUGAAUUUUAUAUAUAAAACCCCUCAUUAUUUAUUUAUAAAAAUAUGUAUAAUUUUUCAUGUUUUACCAAGAUACAACAAUCAUCAACAUGAAUUCACAAAAUAAGCUUAAGUCAUACACAAAAACAGGCAUAGAGUAAUACAUAUGCAUAAUAUAGUCAACAAAGUAAAGUAUACAAGGCUGAACAUUCGUUUAUAAUACUAAAGUACUGCAGGAUCAAAAGUUGUGUAUGAUCAGAAAUAUGAUCAAAAGAUCUAGCAAAGGAUAAUGUCUGAACAAAACAUAGGAUACUAAUAUUUAAAUUAAUCAAAAACUACAAAGCUACAAAUUCUUAAACAACAUCCUCAAAACUGAACCCAUAAGUGUCAAGAAGAAAGGGCAUGUCUAGAUCAUAAGGAAUUGAUGCAAACAAAGCAACAAGAAGAAAAGAAGAUUGAUGUAGAAGCAUCAAAGUAUUCAAAACCAACUACAAGAAGCAUCGGGCAAAAAAAUAUUAAAAGUUGUUACAGAAUAUACUGCCUGAAAUCUAGUUCACACCACCUGUAAUGAAAUCAAAUUCAAAUAAAAGUUGUGGAUUUUGAGAAAGGCUAAAGGAAAUCACAAGGAAAAUGUUCCAAAAGUAGCAAAUAAGACAUAUAAAUCAGUCGAAGAAUAAUUGUGUGAAAAAGGAUAGCACAUAUAACUUUGGAUGAUCAUAUGACUAAGUUUGACUUUGUCAUGAACAAUUACAAACGACUACUUUGAACCCUAUAAAUGCAACCUCCAUUCAAAGAACUCAUUGCAAGGAAGGAAAGCAACAUAAUGGGGGAUAAACUCAUAAAUUUGUACUUCAAGAUAGAGAAAUAUGCUUCUAAGUGAGUCUUCCUUUAUCGAACACUCUAAAGUUUGUGUUCAUCUCUUGUAAAAUCUUAAAGAUCGAGUCUAUAAAAGUCUUUUAAUAUCACAAUGUAUGUAUGUCAUUGUCGUUAUUAUGUGAUUUGAGAGAAAGAGAAAAAAAUCUAUCCAAUGAACUAUAUGUAAAAAGAGAAAGAGAGGAAUUCAAAAGAUCAAUUAGGUGGAUUGGUGCUUUUAGAGUGAGUUUAGUGCACAAUUAGAUUAGUUGAGUUACUUCAGCUAUUGAGUUGUGACUGAAGCCUAGAGGGGCUUAUGAAAAAAUAGUUAGGUGUUGAAGCCUAAAGGGGCUUGAAAAAAUAUUGCUUGGUAGUGGUUAAUCCUGAAGAAACUUAAAAAAGAAUAUUUGUUGUGUGUUAUGACCUGCAAAGAAUAAGAAUAUAAGUUGAGAGAGUAGCCUACAAAAGCUUGUUAAGAAUAUUGUAUGGAAAGCCGACAGGUGCUUGAAGAGAAAGAAAUAAUACAUGUGUAUUUUGGUGUGAUUGUGGUGAAAAAUCGUAUGAGAUAGGGAUAGGAUGUAAUAAGGUUAAGGAUGAACCAAUAUAAAAAUUCUUGUAUGGAGUAUCUCUCUGUUAUGCUUCUCAUAUAUUUUGGUGUUAAUUAUGUUUUUAGUCUCUAAACUUUUUUGAAUUUUCACUUUUAGUCCUUGAAAAAAAUGACCAAUCUUAGUCUUGGAUCUUUUUGUUAGUCAAUAUUUUUAAUCAUUGCCAUUAAAUCUUGUUAAGUGUUAAUAUGGUGUUAGCUUUAUUAUUAUUUAAUUACGUUUUACAGUAGCUCAAUUUUUUACAGUUAAAAACCACCCCAAAAUUGCUUUGUGAGAUAUUUAAGAAGAUUAAAAUAAACAAAACAAAACACUAACUCUUCCAAGUGCUGCACCAUAGAGGGGGCUAUAUGAGGUCUGAGCCACUUUGAACGGUAACACCAAAUGCAACAACUCCUUCUAUGCGCUCUCUCUCUCUCUCUUCUCCUUCUACCCCAUCAACACCAAACGAUCCAAGGUAUUUUAGUUUAUAGUGGCUUCAGAUGUGAUUUUGGCUUUGGGUAUUUCAGAUCUCAACGACAGCGAAGAGAAGUGUAGUGUUAAGUCGCAACAGUAGAUGAGAGAUCCAAACCCAACUCCAAAUCAAGACCAAGAACUCAAAAUCGUCCCAAUCUAAGAUGAACUUCUUGUUAAUCGAACUACUAAACCAAACCCUUGCGUUGUCAUAAACCAUGCGGGCUUGUGGGUUUCAUGAAUCUGGAAGGCUGUGUUGGAGUGAUCUGGAGUUGUCUCUCCAUAUCCGCAACAACAUUUAAAGCAUGAGUUGCACAUCAAAUCAAGCUUUGAUAUCACUUUCAGAUGCUAAGAAAACCAUAAAUUGAUUCUCGCAGAAACUUGAUGCGUAAAAAAAGUACUCGCACAAGAGCAAGUGUACCCUAUGCAAUAAUAAGAGUGGACAAAAAGUUUAGAUAUCGAAUCCAAAGAACUAGUUGUGUUCCCAAACAAUUAACUUUGUAAAACUAAAAUUUAAGGUUAAAUUAAAUGAAAAAUAGUUUAGGUCAAUUAUUCAAUUUAGUAAAUAAGAAUCAAAGAUAGAAAAGUUGAUGUGAAAGCAGUUAUAAUAAGCAACCUAGGAUUGUGAUUUCACACACUUCAAUUUACCCCAAUUCUAAUUCUAACAAAAUCUCAAAUAUAUAUUGUCAAUUACCGGUAUUUUCAAAUUCAAUUAUUAACCUUUGAUCAUAGUUCAAUAAGCUUUUUAACUUAAUCAAUACUCAAAUUGAUCAUAGGAAUAUCAUAUUAGGUCAAAGGAUUAUGAUCAAAACAAAGGUGAUCAAUUAAUUAAUCAACUAGAAUUUCUCAUAACCAGUUUGAUCAUGUAAGUUACGUAGAAGCAAUCUCUUCCUAAACCAAUCAAUUACACAUAGAUGGUCAAUGUCAUGCAAUAGAUUAAGAUUUGAAGUGAUCAAUUCUAAAUUAAUAAUAAAGAAUAAAGAAGAGAUUUAAUUGAUAGAAAAACAUCGAAGAUUUCAUUAAAAUCAAAAAAGGAGUACAAAAGUAUGAUUACUUCAUAAUCCUGAACUAGAGAGACUAGCUACUCAUGAUCAUUGUAAAACUAGAAACCCCAAUAAAAAAAAAUACAGACAUGUCAAAAGACAUGGAUAUGACAAAAAACUCACAUCGAAAUACAGUCAAAUAUGAGUUUAUCAUUGAUCGAACUACUGAACCAACCCCUUUCAUUGUCAUCAACCAUGUGGGCUUGUGGGUUUCAUGAAUUUGGAGGGCAAUGUUAGGGUGGUCUGGAGUUGCCUCUCCAUAUCCAAAACGGCAUUGAAGCAUGAGUUGCACAUCAAAUCAAGCUUUGAUAUCACUUUCAGAUGCUAAGAAGGCCAUAAAUUGAUUCUCAUUUUUAACACUCCCUCGCAUUUAAAAGCUUGAUAUGUCCAUCAAAUUCAUAUCACUUUUAGAAUUAAUUCUCAUAGUAUUCUACUUUCCCCUUACAUCACUUUUAGACCUUUCUUUUUCUUUUUUGAGGGAUUAUGAAUUGUAGAUUCUUCCGAAAAAUCCCUUGCCAUUUCUUCUGUCACUUUUAGAAGUUUAGAGCUUAAGACCAAUCAAAAUUUUGUUUAGAUACUAAAAGUGAAAAUCUUUAAUGUCCAUCUAUACAAACUCCAUAUUUAGCUAGCCUUGAUUGAGUUUGUACGGGGUGAAAAAUAAAUUCGAAUCAGUUAAUUAUUAGUUAAUACUGGUAUCUAGUAAUGGCAUAUGUACACACUCUUAAACAGUCAAUUUUUUCGAUCCUCACUCAAUUCAAGUUCUCUCUUUCACACUUUCUCUCUCGCGAGCUUGCAUCUAUUGCUCUGAUACCUUUAUCGAUGCAUGCAGCAUGCUUGUAGUUGUAGUUAAUUACCUUUCAUUGUAGUAAAUCUUUACGAUACUUACACUCAAUGAUAUGCACUACAAUGGCUAGUCGUCAUGCUAUAUGUGAAGAUUAAUUACAAACCAUAAAAGAAAAGAAACACCUAAAAUGUGAGGCUCAUUUAAUGGAGGGAGCACCAAUAUAAUAAUCUCAUCAACUAUAACGGUGUUAAACGUGAUCUCUCUAAACACGCUUCCAACCACUCCUCCAAAUAAUAAUAAUCACUGACCAAAUCUGAAAUUCCGGUUUGCAUUUCAAGAAAAAAUGUAAUGACCAAUAGGGCCAUGAACGUACAAUUAGUCCCAAGUUAAGUAUUAUAAAUAAUGCAAGUAUGGGACAAGAGUAACUCAAGCCUUCAGAUAUUUCCCUUCUGAGCUUUGAUUAGUGUGGCCUAGUUGUUGUUUUCUCGAUGAGAAAGGCUUCUUCCACUAUGCAUUGCGCACUUCUGCGCUUUUGGGUUCCCUUGUUGCUGCUUGCUAGCUUCAGCUAUGCUCCUUCUGUUUCGGCCACAACUGAAAUUUCAGGUUUGUGCCUCAUCCUAUUGCUGACAUUAAUUUUGUUAUACUUUAGUUUAUGAAACAUGAUGUUAAUUUCUUUGUGUUCGACCUUAAUAAAAACUUAUUCAUUUUAAUAUUUACAUGUGUGAUUUGACAAUACAGAAUAAUAAUCUCUAAUCUAAGGACUAAUUAAAAAUUAUUGAUUUCAAAUUUGGGUUAAUUUUUCUUCAAAAAAAAGUCUCGUACGACCAAAAGUAUAUAUAAGUAAGUCCUUUUGUUAUUUAAUAUGUAUAAAAAUACGUACACCUAUAUGUGUGACCACCGUAGUAAUUAUGUUCAGGUUGGGAAGAACAGAUCCAUAUAUACUUGACAUGCAAAUACUAAUUAGAAAUGAACAAUUUAAUUAUUCAUGAAGUACUACUGUACGAAUGUCGGUAGCCUACGUUUCAAGUAAAAAUUAAGAUCGACCCUUCAUCCACAAGAUUCAGCCAAUGAAUGGUGCUUUUAAUUACUCUUUGACUGAUAUUGUUGUCUUCCAAAUUCAAUUCAAUCAUUUAUCUUGGAAUGCAGUAUAUAUGUCUGAAAUUAACUUGUGGUUUUUUCUGUUCUGCCCCUUGAGCCUGGAUUUAGUGGCUCCCAUAAACGAAAAACUACUACCUACCUGAUCAAUGCAAUAGCUAAUUAUUAUAGUCUUUAAUUAUGCGAGAGAGAUAUUAUUAUAUUCUUCCUUGGUCUCAUAAUAAUUGUCGUAUAAAAAGAAAUUAUUUAUUUUAAAAUAAUUAUCAUUUUAUUUUUUCAAUGUAACAUUAAUUAAUUUUUUAAUUAUAUUUCUUAUAAUAUUAAUAAUAUGAGCUACAGAAUAAAAAAAUAAUGAUAAUAAAGUUAAUUUUGUAAUAUUAAUAUUCUCUUUCAUUUGUUUUUUUUAUUUAUUUUUUUUAUAAAACAAUUUAGGACAAUAAUUAUAAUCUGAUGAGAGAGUAUCUAUUAUGAUUUUCAAUGAAAUUUUAUAUUAUUUUUGUAUUUAUAUUUUUUUUACUCUAUUUAUAUUCUUGAACAAAAUCAAAUUUACUAGGUAUUAACAAAAAUAUUUAUUGUGUUUAACUUUUUUUUUUUUUUUUACAUUUCUUAUGUAGGGAAUGAAGUGAACACAGAUGGGAAGGUGAUAAAUGAAGAGUUAGCAAAACCAAGUCUAAAAGGACAUGAUGAAGAAGCAAAGUUCAAAGGAUUUUUUCCAAAACCAAUUCCUAUAGUUAAACCAAUUCCAAAGCCAAUUCCUAUUAUUAAACCUAUUCCAAUUCCAGUUUAUAAGCCUAUUCCAAAACCAAUUCCUAUUGUUAAGCCUAUUCCAAAGUCAAUUCCAGUUGCUAAGCCAAUUCCUAAUGAAGAAGAAAAAUUCAAAGGAUUUAUUCCAAAGCCAAUUCCUAUAAUUAAGCCUAUUCCAAAGAUAAUUCCUAUUGUUAAACCUAUUCCAAAGAUAAUUCCUAUUGUUAAACCUAUUCCUAUUCCAGUUUAUAAGCCUAAACCAAAACUAAUUCCUGUUGUUAAGCCAAUUCCUGUUAUUAAGCCUGUUCCAAAGAUAAUUCCCGUUGUUAAACCAAUUCCAAUUAUUAAACCUGUGCCAAAACCAAUUCCCAUUAUUAAGCCUAUCCCAAAACCAUUUAUAGUGAAAAAGCCCAUCCCGACUGUUGAGUCGGAGGAAUUUCUAAAACCAAAGCCUUUCUUCAAAAAGCCUAUUAUUCCUAAGCUACCACUUCACCCCAAAUUCAAGAAACCACUUCUACCACCAUUGCCAAUUCACAAGCCAAUUCCAACUCCAUAAGAGU
rnacentral:lncRNA from 1 species